GAUGAACGCUGGCGGCGUGCCUAAUACAUGCAAGUCGAGCGAACAGACGAGGAGCUUGCUCCUCUGACGUUAGCGGCGGACGGGUGAGUAACACGUGGAUAACCUACCUAUAAGACUGGGAUAACUUCGGGAAACCGGAGCUAAUACCGGAUAAUAUAUUGAACCGCAUGGUUCAAUAGUGAAAGACGGUUUUGCUGUCACUUAUAGAUGGAUCCGCGCCGCAUUAGCUAGUUGGUAAGGUAACGGCUUACCAAGGCAACGAUGCGUAGCCGACCUGAGAGGGUGAUCGGCCACACUGGAACUGAGCAACGGUCCAGACUCCUAGGGGAGGCAGCAGUAGGGAAUCUUCCGCAAUGGGCGAAAGCCUGACGGAGCAACGCCGCGUGAGUGAUGAAGGCCUUCGGAUCGUAAAACUCUGUUAUUAGGGAAGAACAAAUGUGUAAGUAACGAUGCACGUCUUGACGGUACCUAAUCAGAAAGCCACGGCUAACUACGU
rnacentral:rRNA from 1 species